CCUACGGGGAGCUGCAGUGAGGAAUAUUGGUCAAUGGACGAGAGUCUGAACCAGCCAAGUAGCGUGAAGGAUGACUGCCCUAUGGGUUGUAAACUUCUUUUAUAUGGGAAUAAAAUGUUCCACGUGUGGGAUUUUGUAUGUACCAUAUGAAUAAGGAUCGGCUAACUCCGUGCCAGCAGCCGCGGUAAUACGGAGGAUCCGAGCGUUAUCCGGAUUUAUUGGGUUUAAAGGGAGCGUAGGUGGAUUGUUAAGUCAGUUGUGAAAGUUUGCGGCUCAACCGUAAAAUUGCAGUUGAAACUGGCAGUCUUGAGUACAGUAGAGGUGGGCGGAAGUCGUGGUGUAGCGGUGAAAUGCUUAGAUAUCACGAAGAACUCCGAUUGCGAAGGCAGUUCACUGGACUGCAACUGACACUGAGGCUCGAAAGUGUGGGUAUCAAACAGGAUUAGAUACCCUUGUAGUC
rnacentral:rRNA from 1 species